rnacentral:rRNA from 1 species
ACAAGUACCGUGAGGGAAAGUUGCAAAGCACUUUGAAGAGAGAGUUAAAGAGGACGUGAAACCGAUGAGAUGGAAACGGACAGAGCUGGCGUAUCUGGUCUGCAUUCAUCCGUGUGUUCUUGGGCGUUUGGAUUGCCACUCUCCAGACUGGGAUGGUGUUCAUUCUGUUCAGGGGCUCAUGGAGCAUUUGCAGGCGGAGUGCGCUGAGAUGCUCGGAACAGCUGUAUGAGCUUGGCUUUGAGGCCAGCCCUUCGGGGUCUGGUACCCGGGCUGUGGGAGUGCUGUUUGUUCUGGGUGCUGAGUGUGUGCAAUGGCAACGGGUCCGUGUUGGUUUGAGCUGGCGGUCGGUGGCGGUCGCGUGCGACACGUGCCAGCAGUCAGUUCGGUCCUGCUCGGGCUCUCAUUGCAUGUUCUCGGUGUAAAAGCCGGUCAUCUGUCCGACCCGUCUUGAAACACGGACCAAGGAGUUUAGCGUGUGCGCGAGUCAUUGGGAGUUGAAAACCCAAGGGCGUAAUGAAAGUGAAGGUCUCCUUGCGGAGCUGAUGUGUGAUCUCGUGCACCCCGGUGUGCGGGCGCAACAUAGUCCCGUCCCGAUCGCAUGCGAUGGGGCGGAGACAGAGCGUACGCGCUGAGACCCGAAAGAUGGUGAACUAUUCCUGAGCAGGAUGAAGCCAGAGGAAACUCUGGUGGAAGUCCGAAGCGAUUCUGACGUGCAAAUCGAUCGUCUGACUUGGGUAUAGGGGCGAAAGACUAAUCGAACCAUCUAGUAGCUGGUUCCUUCCGA